AGGGCACGCUUGGUUUACAACAUACAGGGGCCGUCUGUGGAUCCAUUCAGCCAGCAAGCAGCCCACCCACGAGGACAUCAGUAAAGUGGUUGACAUCUAUCGCAAGAUUGUCGAAGGGACGGGAGAAAUUGUUAGUUUUCCAGGUGAGUACCCAACAAGCUGCCUUUUGGGAUGUGUCAACCUUGUUGACUGCCUGCCCUAGGACAUCUAUCAUGAACAGUAUCCAUUUGGGGAAUGCUUCUCUCCAUUUGUCUUCAUAUGUGAGGAACCUCAAGAACUGAAAACAAAGUUCCCAAUGAAGGGGGA
rnacentral:lncRNA from 1 species